rnacentral:lncRNA from 1 species
AUAAAUAGGGCAGAGUGGGAAGUGAAUAAGGGGUAAAAUUUAAUUGAAUUUCCAGCUUUUCUCUCUACAACAACUCAUCCUUUCUCUUCUACAUUUUCAAUCUUUCUUCUCCCUAAAUCAGCUCUCAUCUUCUCCUAAAAUAUUUCUAAUUCUGCUGUAACUCUUGUUGCUCCUUAAUUUCUUCACAAGUCAGGCCAGGUACCUGACACAUAACUACAUUAAGUAGCAUCAUGCCAUCUCAUUUGAGCUACUAGUUUAAUUUCAUCUCAGUUCUAUUAACUUAAUUCAUUUGCCAUUAUUAGUUUAUUCAAUUACUGUUUAGUUCAUAAGCAAGCUAAUUUCAAAAACUUGGUGGCAAGUGAUUAGAUGUAUUAAAUACUGAAAAGUGUUACAAGUAUAAGAAGAGAAUAUUUGAACAGAAAAUUCUGGACUUCCCCAAUUCCAUGUUCCUUUGCUCAUUCCUCUGUUCUUUGCUGAAACGUUACUUUCAUAUGCUCUUUUCUUCUACAAUUUCUUUCCAAUUAUCAUGCUGUUAUCUCUAUAACACAGAAUCCUUGAGUUAAUGAGUUAAGGUUCUAAUUUUGGUAUCAAAGCCAGUUGAACCAGAGGAUACUCUCACUCACUUGCAAAACUGGCAUGGAAUAGCAAAAUGACAUAACUGUGCAAUCAAUGGGUCCAAACUCUUGAUGUUACCAUCAAGUCUUUGGAUCUCAAAUUUCAGUCUUUGUGAAAGAAAUGUAUCACCCCUUUUGAGCAUAAAAGUUGCUCACGAAGUUCAAAUGAAGACUCAGCGAUGAAUUGAGCAAGUGAACUUCAUAUUGAACACCAAUUCAACAAAAAUGGGAGUGGUCGUUCAUCGUUCUCGAAUUGAUGAAUCAAGCUCCUCAUGGUCAAACUAGUGGCACCGGCAUUUAGGUAAAACCUAAUUUCUCUGGUGAAUCUGGUAGUGGACUACUUCCAACCGCUCAAUUUUACCCCCGGCAGAAAUCCUGGGGUUAACUGAAUAGAUCUAUUCCUAAUAUGGCAUUCUCAAUGUUUGAGGGAGUUAAUCCACAGAGUUGGAUUGAAAAAGCUUUAAAUAUUUCCAGAUCUAAAGUGCCAGAGGAACAAAAUAUUGAGAUUGCCACUCUCUAUUUCAGGGAGAAGGCUGACAAGUGAUUACAGGGACAGCAACAGCAGAGAAGUUACAGGGUAAAGUUUCUGUAAAUGAACCUUACAGGUGAUUAGUUUAAGUAUGGCUGAUGCAGUAGAGAAAUUCAAUAAAUUGCACCAGAAGAGCUCAGUUUCUAAAUACAAGGAAUCCUUUGAGAAACUCAAAUCAUUGAUGUUGAAGAACAAUCCUGUAUCUCUCUAAAUCUUACUUUCUUUCUAGUUCCAUUAGUGAUUUUAAUAAAGAGUUACACAAUGUCUUCAAAGUAUUCAAGCCAACCACACUCCUUCAGCCUUUGAGCAAAAGCUCACCUCCAAGAGUAACCCAUUCAGGAGAUCUUCAAACGCCAAGAUAUUCCUUCUACACUCCACCUUUCCAUUCACUCACAAGAACAACUAGUCCACUUCCCCUAACCACACAGUCUCUAAACAAUUAACUUCUCAGGUAUCUAGAACCAUCUAGAGACCACUGAAAAUUGCACCAAUUUAUGAGACGCACGACUCUGGCUUCUGCUACCAGUGUUGAGUUAUCUUCUUCACCAGUACUAUAAGUAGAAGUAACUUCUUUGUCUUAAUGCUUUGGGAAAGGAUGUCAUCAGAGGAGAUUUUUGAUGGGACUUGAGGGGUUGAAGCAGGAUCAGGGAGAUAUCCAUACAAGCUCUUGAAGGCAUUGCAAUCCUUAACGCACUGAAGAUUAGAGGAACUGCUGGGGACAGGACCGUUCUGAGCCUAGUGAAAGCACUCAUAGCUUCCUUGAUGAUAAGGUCAUUCGGGCAAUUAAUGUAGCAUUUGGCACAUUGUCUAGGGUUUUCCUUUGACAAUUACAAAGCCCAGCAGGUUGAGAUGUAUGCAAACACAUUAGUUGAUUGCAGGGAUUUGGGUAAAACUUCAAUCUUUAAUUGUUGGCAUUGUAGAAUAUUAUAAUGCAGUCUUGGAUGUUGAUUGGAUGAGGAGGUCUAGUCUAAUGGUCUUUGAUUUGCUUAACUAGCAGAAGGAUGAACGUUACAUUGCCUUGAAGGAAUUUUGGAGGGGCUGUCUCUUAAGAUGAUCACUUCUAAGUGCUUAUAAAAAUUUUCAGCCCAUGAUGCAAAAACAGGAAAGAGUAUAACAAUGGAGUAAAGUACAUCAUCUUUAAUCAGCCACAUCACCCAACCCCUCACUAGCAACAGAACCUAGUGAAGCGAUUCAGCAAGCAGAUAGAAACAGGAAAAAAAUCAUUUGUUUAGGUCUCUUGCAAUCGUUGGCAACAUUAUUUAAACGAAAUGGAGAAUCAUUCCAAAUAUAUGGCCGUCAGAAUUUCAUAUUUCAACUAUCUCAUAUAAUCAACAGAAAUCCCAAUCUAACUCAUCCUCACUGAAACUCCAUUAUCUCAAUGAUUCCGUGCCAAAAAUUAUCUACUACAGUUAUCCCUUUGAACAUCUCAGCUUCAACUCUAUGACACUAAAUCCAAGAUGACCCAGAAAAGAAACAUAAAUAACAGAUGCUAUCAUGCUAUAUAGGACCCAAAAUCCAUUUCUUCCGAAUUGAUAUAACAGCAAACAGAACUAAACCAAGAAACAACGGUAGUGGCAAGAUAUUACAAGCUCCGUACCUGG